rnacentral:ncRNA from 2 species
AUAUACAAGCUGGGGUGCCUUUUGGCUGAGAAUUACCCAUGGACCUGAUCUGGACAAUACCAGCGUAGGGAGCUUAAAUUGGUUAAUG